rnacentral:rRNA from 1 species
UACGAAGGGGGCGAGCGUUGUUCGGAUUUACUGGGCGUAAAGGGCGCGCAGGCGGCUAUCCAAGUCAGGCGUGAAAGCCCCGGGCUUAACCUGGGAGGUGCGUCUGGGACUGGGUGGCUAGAGUUCGGGAGAGGAGAGUGGAAUUCCCAGUGUAGAGGUGAAAUGCGUAGAGAUGUGGAGGAACACCAGUGGCGAAGGCGACUCUUUGGCCUGUAACUGACGCUGAGGCGCGAAAGCGUGGGGAGCAAACAGG